ACGAAUAGGGGGAGUAACGUAAGUCGAAGUUAACGCUAAUACCGUCAUACGUUCUACGGUAGGAAAGUAGGGGGAGUCGCAAGACCUCAUGCUUUUGGUAGUCGGCCGAUGUCUGAUUAGCUAGUUGGUGAGGUAAAGGCUCACCAAGGCGACGAUCAGUAGCUGGUCUGAGAGGACGACCAGCCACACUGGAACUGAGACACGGUCCAGACUCCUACGGGAGGCAGCAGUGGGGAAUUUUGGACAAUGGGCGCAAGCCUGAUCCAGCAAUGCCGCGUGAGUGAAGAAGGCCUUCGGGUUGUAAAGCUCUUUUGUCAGGGAAGAAACGGUGGAGGCUAAUAUCCUUUUGCUAAUGACGGUACCUGAAGAAUAAGCACCGGCUAACUACGUG
rnacentral:rRNA from 1 species